ensembl:lncRNA
GUUGUUUGUCUCCAAGUUGAGCUUGAGAAGCUGAACUGUUUUAGAGAUGCCCAGAACCUAGCCUCCACCUCUUCACAACACAGUUGCAGCACACGGGAUCUGUUAGUCGUGCCAUGCAGAAUCUUUCACCGCAGCCUGCGAACUCAGUUGUGACAUGUGGGAUCUAGUUCCCUAACCAGAUCAGAUACCACCUGGAAUCCUGUGGUCAGUUCUGGAUUCCUUUGGAGAACACUUUGGGAGUGGCAAAAGUAAAUUGGACUCCACAGUGGGUAUGAGGAUGGAGAUAAGACCUUGGAUCCAUAUGGCAAAAGAGCCUGGAGAUGUUCAUCCAAAACCAAGCCAAUCAAGAGGGAGUCAUUAUAACCACCUUUAAAUAAAGAACUGUUCUACA